GAUCAUAAAAAAAAAGGUGAUGGUGGCGACGGCGCAAAACAGGACCAACAAGGAGGCAGCGCCACCGGUGAGCGGCGCCAAGAGGAAGAGAAGAAAAAAAAAGGCUGACGAGAGGGAUGAGUUUGUUGGGUAAUGUUUAAUGGACCGCGGCCAAAGCGCGUGCGCGCCUCCCGUCCGCGGCCGAUUGCAAAAAGAGCCCCAGCGGUGGAUUGCGCCGGCGGCACUGGAACGCGCAAGACGGGUCCAGGCGAUCGCAGGCGAGCGCCACAUCAAUCGCGGCGCGACCCGUGACGGCGUCGCGCGCAAAUGGGUCGGCGCCGGCGCGAACGAGUGUCGCCGCCGUGUGGAUGCAGUCGCCGCGCGCCCAGGCCGACGCAGCAGCGGCCGCGUGCAGCGGCGUGCCUCGCCCGUGGCCCUGGUCGCGGUGCACCGACGCACCGCCGGCCACGAGGCGUAGGACAGCGGCCGAAUCGCACCGGGCAGCUGCCGACCAGAGACGCGCCUCUGCGGGCGUGCCUCCGGGCGUCAGACAAUGUCGUACAUCGUCGAUCAGGGCGAGCGCGGUGGGCGUGUUCCACGCGUCCAAGGCACAUGCCCACGCGCCGAGCACAACGCCGAGCACGACAAAUACGGCCGCCCACAUACACGGCGCUCUCCAUCGUCGCGCGCGGCCAAAGGCAUCACGUGACGACUGUCGCGGUGCCUUGAGCGUCGCCUUUGCGCGCGCCAAUCCUUUUUGUUCCUUGUGUUGUUGCUGUUUGUGCGCCAUGGUGUUAGAAAAAAAAAAGAAGAAGAGCCCUUGUUGCCCCUCUCGCC
rnacentral:lncRNA from 1 species